rnacentral:tRNA from 2 species
GUCAAAGUGGUAGAAAUAAAUACAUUAGGUUUAGGACCUAAAGAUGGGAUUAUUGUCUUCUUUGAUG